GCAGCUCCAGGCGCGGGCCUCGCGCGCGCUCCACGCGGCCCCAGCGCAGCUCCGCCUGCAGGCUGCAGCCCUCUGACCAGGAUUCCCAGCUCUGGGCCGCCGCCGUCCCCGCCGCGGGCGACUGCAGCGACGGCCCCAGGUAGCCGGGAGCGGGAAAUGGUUGGCUCAGGGCCGUGGCGUGGGCCUGCGGGAAGGCCCACAAGGGCGGCGCGAGCGCUAGGAGCGCGCUUGGGCCGUGGAAGCUGUGAUAUUCCCGCUGAGCCGCCCACUCGCCUGCGCUUAGGCACGGGGGCCGGCUGCAGAAGUUGUGAGCCUGGAUGGGGGGCAGCAGCAGAGGGGCGGGCAGGUAGGUGUAGGUGAGGGCCUGCAGCGGAGGCCAGACGCCCUCCCCGGGCGCCAGGCAACUGUAUGAGUACAUGGUCUGAAGCUCAGGCGGCGGGCAUUUUUACAGGGGUCUGGUCCUGGUCCAGUCCUGUGGUGAGGGUGUGUGCGAUACACUUCGAUCUUAUCUCCACCGUCUGUCCCUGGGUCCUGAUAACUCAGAGGGCGCUGGUUCACAGCAGGAGCCCUUACCGCGCAUGCGUGCCUCAUAGCUUUGCGGAACUAUUCCUAAAACAUUCAGCUCCCACCUCUCUUGUCCUAGGGCUGGGCCCUAAUCCCAGGCUCCCACCAGGCUUUAAGGACUCAAGGCCUUUUCAAGCCCUCAACCCAGAAAUGCACUUCCCAGGUAACUCCCCACUCACUUGUCUCCUUCAGCCCAGAGGACCUGGGUCCCGGCAUUUGGUGCAGCCACAGAGGUCCAGAGCAGGACUCCAAUCUGCCACCGCUUUUUAGUUGAGCUGCUCCCCUCCAUACCCUGCGUCAGCCACACCUCCUGGUUUCCAGGCAAAAGGAAACAUCCUGAGCUGGCCAGGAGCCAGCCAGCCUGUGUCUACACUAGGUGAGCCUGCUGCUCACCUAGGCAGUGAGUCCUGUGCUCAAGGAUGCCCUCACCACAACAUCACUUAAGGCAUCCCGACACCCCUUCCGAUCAAGUUACCAGUUUUCCAAACUCCAUUUUCUUACCCCCUCCAAAUGGGUUGGGUUAUUCUAAUACUUGAGUGAAGUGCCUGCAGACCAAGCACUAAAUCAGGUUGCUUAUGAGCAUCUUCUGACUUUAAGUUUACAUCAACCCUAGGAAGGAGGUACUAAUAUUUUACACUUUACAUAGCAGAAAGCUGCUUGCCUCAGAUUUGGUAUGCAACAAAUGUAUUCUACGACUGGGGCUUAUGUAGCUUAAGUAUUUGCCCAAACUCACACAACCUGUUAUGGUAUGGGCAAAAUUCAACCCCAUGUCUGUCUCAAGCCUCAUGUUCUUAGUAUUAGCCAUAUCACCAGUCCAUGCUGAGGCUUCAUUCAGACUAUCCCACAGGCCUCCCCUUUAGAAUGUUACAUGAGAAAUAAUUCCUAAUAGCCAUGUUAAGAACAUGGUGAUAUCAUUCUCAUUUAAUAGAUAAGGAACCAGAGGCUCAGAGAAGUUAGGCCACUUUUUUAGGUUCCUACAGUCUGUAACUGGCACAGUGGAAUUUGAACCCAGUUCAACUGAUGUCAAAGCUCAGAGGCUACUUGGGUGAAGCAAGAAAGAUUGCUUCAUCCAAAUGGAGCACCUGAGGAAUGUCCAAGACUACCUACAGAUCGACCUCACCUCAGCCUGGAGUUCAAUGAUGGGCCCUGUGAGAGUGGCCAGUUUCUCCACCUGCUCCCACAUGGAGAUCUGGUCACACCUGGUGGGAGGUGGAGAGAGUGUGAGAACAAACUCACGUUGGAGCCUGGGAGGGUGAGAAGUUUGUAUUUUAAUAUUGGCCCCUACAUGCUUGCUGAAAGCCUGUUGGUUCUGGGGAAGGAGUUUAGAGGCCCAAUGAGAAAAAUAAGGGUCAAGCUAUGAGUUUCUCUGUAUUCAUUACACCAAUUCCAGUAACAGCCCACAGACUUUUUGGGUCCCACUCCUCAUCUAGUAAAGUGGUUCUUGGAAAGUUGGCUCUAUUCCAUCCUUAAAUUGUGGGUGAUUUAGGACUAAGCCAAUCAGCACUGACCUUCCUCUGGCCAUAGUGAUGGGUUUAGGGUAGUCAUGUGACUCAACUUGGCCAAUGGGGCCAAACCCAGACUUUGUUCACUUGUUUGGUGGAGAAGUGUUCUCUCUCUGGACAGAAAUCUGAAACAAUGCAGGCUGAGUGGAGAGAGAAGGCAUGGAGCUACGGAAUUGGAGCCAAGGGACAGAAAUUGGGCCCUGGUGACAUGGUUUGAAUCCUGGACUUUAAACUUAUGCAAGCCAAUAAAUUCCUUUUUUCUUACAGUUUUACUCAGGUAUAGUUGACAUAUACCACUACACCAUUGUAUAAGUUUAAGGUGUACAGCAUAAUGAUUUGUCUUACAUGUUCGUGAAAUGACUACCAGAAUUAGUUUAGUUAACGUCCAUCAUUUCAGAUACAAAAAAGAAAAAACUUUUUUCCUUGUGAUGAGACUUAAGAUUUUCUCUUGUAACAACUGUAAAAUAUACCAGGCAGCAUUAACUCUAGUCAUUAUGUUAUACAUUACAUCCCAAUAGUUAUUUACCUUUUAACUGAAACUUUGUGUCUUGUGGCCACCUUUAUGCAAAUCUCUCUCCCUUCAAUAAAUUCUUUUCUUGCUUAAUCUA